GACGAACGCUGGCGGCGUGCUUAACACAUGCAAGUCGAACGGAAAGGCCCUGCUUUUGUGGGGUGCUCGAGUGGCGAACGGGUGAGUAACACGUGAGUAACCUGCCCUUGACUUUGGGAUAACUUCAGGAAACUGGGGCUAAUACCGGAUAGGAGCUCCUGCUGCAUGGUGGGGGUUGGAACGUUUCGGCGGUUGGGGAUGGACUCGCGGCUUAUCAGCUUGUUGGUGGGGUAGUGGCUUACCCAGGCUUUGACGGGUAGCCGGCCUGAGAGGGUGACCGGCCACAUUGGGACUGAGAUAGGGACCAGACUCCUACGGGAGGCAGCAGUGGGGAAUAUUGCACAAUGGGCGGAAGCCUGAUGCAGCAACGCCGCGUGCGGGAUGACGGCCUUCGGGGUGUAAACCGCUUUCGCCUGUGACGAAGCGUGAGUGACGGUAAUGGGUAAAGAAGCACCGGCUAACUACGUG
rnacentral:rRNA from 1 species